AUAUUUGCGUCGCCGGACGCUAAAGCAAUUACCAAUUCUCUUAGGCCAACGUGAGAGUUGUUAAUUGCUUUUUUUUGAA
rnacentral:ncRNA from 1 species